AUUGAACGCUGGCGGCAGGCCUAACACAUGCAAGUCGAGCGGUAGCACAGAGAGCUUGCUCUCGGGUGACGAGCGGCGGACGGGUGAGUAAUGUCUGGGAAACUGCCUGAUGGAGGGGGAUAACUACUGGAAACGGUAGCUAAUACCGCAUAACGUCGCAAGACCAAAGAGGGGGACCUUCGGGCCUCUUGCCAUCAGAUGUGCCCAGAUGGGAUUAGCUAGUAGGUGGGGUAACGGCUCACCUAGGCGACGAUCCCUAGCUGGUCUGAGAGGAUGACCAGCCACACUGGAACUGAGACACGGUCCAGACUCCUACGGGAGGCAGCAGUGGGGAAUAUUGCACAAUGGGCGCAAGCCUGAUGCAGCCAUGCCGCGUGUAUGAAGAAGGCCUUCGGGUUGUAAAGUACUUUCAGCGGGGAGGAAGGUGUUGUGGAUAAUAACCACAGCAAUUGACGUUAGCUAAAGAAAAAGCACCGGCUAACUCUGUGCCAGCAGCCGCAGUAA
rnacentral:rRNA from 1 species